rnacentral:rRNA from 1 species
CUUGAAGGGUCGUCGAAGACCACGACGUUGAUAGGUCAGGUGUGGAAGCGCAGUAAUGCGUUAAGCUAACUGAUACUAAUUGCCCGUACGGCUUGAUCCUAUAACCUU